AUCAGAGCUCACCUCCAGGGCCUACUUGCAUUCCCAUUCUGCCAGUUCCCUUUCUGCUACCUGCUUUGGUCUCAGUGUCCCCCUGACGUCAAGCACCAUGCCUAGAGUAUCUGCUGACUCCUACCUCCCACCCAGUCCAUCGGCAAUCACGAAUCCCUUCAUAAUCCAAGUCCAGUGCAUCCCAGAGGAAUGCAAUCCCUGCCUCCUUUCUUCCUUCUUCUCCAGUGCUGUAAUACUUGUCCUUUUCUUCUCAGGUUCUCCAAGAGCCCACGAUAGUGCUUUACCCAGGUAAUCCCACCAUUCUUAUUGACUGCCUUCUCCAGUGUCUUUCUCUGUCUCCUUCCCCCCAUCC
rnacentral:lncRNA from 1 species